rnacentral:rRNA from 1 species
GUGCCAGCAGCCGCGGUAAUACCUACUCCAGAAAUGUCUAUAAUUAAUGCUGCGAUUAAAGAGUUUGUAGUUGAGUAUGAUGACAAUAAAAUGACUUUGUUUAGAGAAGUUUUCAUUGUUAAGUAUAGCGGAAUGGAUAAGGAGUAUAGUACAACAAGGGAAGAGAUGAAAUUCCUAAAUCCAUGUUAGACUGACAGAAGCGAAAGCGAUACUCUUAUACAUAUCAAAGAAUCAAGAACGGAGGUUAGGGUAUCGAAAGUGAUUAGAUACCACAGUAGUCCUAACAGUAAACAAUGCCAACAGUUCGUUUGUAGAUUAUAUGGUCAAGUGAUCUAUAAGUGAAUAAGAGAAAUCGAAAGUAUUUGGGCCACGGGGAGAGUACCGCCGCAAGGCAGAAACUUAAAAUGAAAUUGACGGAAGGACACUACAAAAAGUGGAUUGUACUGUUUAAUUUGACUCAACACGGGAAAACUUACCAAUAUCAAGUUAUGCGUAGAACGGAAGAAAAGAUAUCGGGAGUGUAACAGGAGUAGUGCAUGGUCGCUGGAAAUUGGUGGGAUGACUUUCAGCUUAAUUGCUUAAACCAAUGAGAUCUUUUGACUGAUGUAUAUUAUUUGCUUAGUAUGAUGUGCAUUGAGACAUGUAGUGAGU